AUUGAACGCUGGCGGCAGGCCUAACACAUGCAAGUCGAGCGAGCGGCGGACGGGCGAGUAAUGCCUAGGAAGCAGACUGGUAGAGGGGGAUAACGUCCGGAAACGGGCGCUAAUUCCGCAUACGUUCGAUUGAGUGGAUGCAGGAUUAGCUAGUGGGUGGGGUAAAGGCCCACCAAGGCGACGAUCCCUAGCUGGUCUGAGUGGAUGACCAGCCACACUGGAACUGAGACACUGUCCAGACUCCUCCGGGAGGCAGCAGUGGGGAAUAUUGCACAAUGGGCGCAAGCCUGAUGCAGCCAUGCCGCGUGUAUGAAGAAGGCCUUCGGGUUGUAAAGUACUUUCAGCGGGGAGGCGUUACCCGCAGAAGAAGCACCGGCUAACUCCGUGCCAGCAGCCGCGGUAAUUC
rnacentral:rRNA from 1 species